AUCUCCCAAUUUUGAAUUCCUUGUAUUCGAAGCAGAGGAAGAUGAUGUUGAAAGGAUUCCUGACGAGAUUUCCCGACUUCUUGAGCAAGAAAAGAAGAUCACUCAGCUGCAUCUCGAGAAUCUGCAAAACAGUCCAACUUGGGCAUUACAAAUGUAAUAAAAAAAAGAGAGGGGGGUAAAAAAUCAAAAUCAAAAUCAAAAUCAAAAUCAAAAUCCAAAGAAAGAAAAAAGAAAGAAAGAAACAGAAGAAAAAUAGCACCCUCAAAUCCC
rnacentral:lncRNA from 1 species